GAGAGGAUGAUCAGUCACACUGGAAUUGAGACACGGUCCAGACUCCUACGGGAGGCAGCAGUGGGGAAUAUUGGACAAUGGGCGAAAGCCUGAUCCAGCCAUGCCGCGUGUGUGAAGAAGGUCUUCGGAUUGUAAAGCACUUUAAGUUGGGAGGAAGGGCAUUAACUUAAUACGUUAGUGUUUUGACGUUACCGACAGAAUAAGCACCGGCUAACUCUGUGCCAGCAGCCGCGGUAAUACAGAGGGUGCAAGCGUUAAUCGGAAUUACUGGGCGUAAAGCGCGCGUAGGUGGUUUGUUAAGUCGGAUGUGAAAUCCCCGGGCUCAACCUGGGAACUGCAUUCAAAACUGACAAGCUAGAGUAUGGUAGAGGGUGGUGGAAUUUCCUGUGUAGCGGUGAAAUGCGUAGAUAUAGGAAGGAACACCAGUGGCGAAGGCGACCAUCCUGG
rnacentral:rRNA from 1 species